GACGAACGCUGGCGGCGUGCUUAACACAUGCAAGUCGAACGGAAAGGCCCUGCUUUUGUGGGGUGCUCGAGUGGCGAACGGGUGAGUAACACGUGAGUAACCUGCCCUUGACUUUGGGAUAACUUCAGGAAACUGGGGCUAAUACCGGAUAGGAGCUCCUGCUGCAUGGUGGGGGUUGGAAAGUUUCGGCGGUUGGGGAUGGACUCGCGGCUUAUCAGCUUGUUGGUGGGGUAGUGGCUUACCAAGGCUUUGACGGGUAGCCGGCCUGAGAGGGUGACCGGCCACAGAGGCACUGAGGUACGGCCCGGACUGCUACGGGAGGCAGCAGUGGGGAACAGUGCACAAUGGGCGGAAGGCUGAUGCAGCAACGCCGCGUGCGGGAUGACGGCCUUCGGGUUGUAAACCGCUUGCGCCUGUGACGAAGCGUGAGUGACGGAAAUGGGUAAAGAAGCACCGGCUAACUACGU
rnacentral:rRNA from 1 species